UGCAGCAUUGCCUCCUGUAACCUCUCAGAGUCAGGAGGAGAAAGUGGGUCCUGCUGUGUUCCAGGGUUAUCCUGGGGUCUGGGCUGCACACUUGCAGGGCCCUCUCUGCCCCUUUGCUGUGAAAACUCCAUGCUUACAUUCCCCUUAGAUACCGACUGUGGGACUUCUCUCCGUGUCUCUGCCUCUUUCUCCGUCUCCUCGCUCUCUGGGAACCUUUCUUGGCUCAGCCUAUGGGAAAGCAGAAGUGAAGCCUGAGGGAAGAGACUCCCAAGCAGAGAUGGGAAAGAUGAGUAGACUCCGUCCUUCCCAGUGGGAGGAGCAGGUCUUGGUGCCAAGAUGAGAGACGCCAUGAUUGCAGCAGCAAGAGGGAGACGCACAGGAACUGUGUGAAGUCUAGGUACCUUAAGCAGUUUGAACUUGAUCUUUCCCCUGUGGCUAUUGAAGGUUUUGAUGCAGGUGGCGAUACAGCCAGCUUUGACCUGCAUCUAAUGAGCACCUAGUGUGUUUUGGGAGUUAUCUACGUUAUCUUAUGAAUCCUCAGCGGCCCCGAGUGGGCACGAUCUCCAUUGACCCAUCCAUCACUUCUUUAAAGUUAUAAUUAUUUUGUUACUUAACGUGUAUGCGUGUUUUGCUUGCAUAUUUGUCUGUGUAGCACAUGCAAGCUUGGUGCCUAUACAGGCCGAAGAGGGCACCACAUCCCCUGGAACUGGAGUUACGGAUGGCUGUGAGCCGUUACUAGAGUGCUGGAAACUGAAGCCGGAACUGCUGGAAGAAUGGACAGUGCUUUUAACCCCGGAAGCAGCUCUUCAGCCCCCAUUGUCAUCUCUUUAAAACCGAGAGACAGAUAGAUGCCUUUGGACGGACGAUACUCAUGUUUAUUAAGGAAAUAAGACUCCUUACUCUGAGAGUCAAAUCAGUUUGGAAGGCUAGGUGAUCCGGGUACCUGGUCGUCAGUUCUUGUCUUACGAGGUUUUGAAAGGAAUGGAAAAACAGCAAUGUGUCCGACUCUUAGAGAUAGAAUUGUGAUCGGUCCUAAACCCGUCACAGAACCCACAUGAGGCUCACAUGCUACAUCUGGAUUUUGUGAGAAAAGGAAAUUCUCCCCAUGGAUUUUUCAUUAUUCAGUCAAAGUACUGGAAGUGUGCCUCGAGGGCAGGCAUCUGAACUCCUCCGCUAGGCUCUUGAGGACAUGGCAGACAUCAUGAGAGAAGGUGGUGAUUUAGAACUUAAGCGAUCUAGAUCAGAAAAUGCCUGGUUGGACUCUGGGCUGAGUAGGGAGACACAACAAUAAAAAUGACAGAGACAAAGGAAA